AUUGUACUUCCUCCGUCCAACAAAGAUGUCUCAAUUUUGACUAAAUUUGAAUGCAUCUAUACACUAAGUCAUGUCUAGAUACAUUCAAAUUUUGACAAACUUGAGACAUUUUUUGUUGGACGGAAGCAGUACAUG
rfam:Brachypodium distachyon strain Bd21 chromosome 4, whole genome shotgun sequence.